AUCUGGCUCGUAUCGGUUACUGAACAUUUAAAACUGUCAAUAUUUUUCAUUCAUUUUGCCAUUAUAGCAAAGAACCCUGAUACUACAUUAAGAUACCGAACAGAGAUUUACCUUCCUGGAUUAGUUGGCAAAUAGAGACGCACUUAGCAAGAGUGCCUACCGUGUAUCUCGACAAUCACCAUAUCACAAAUCGAGAUGGAAAAAUCUUAAAGUGGUUUUAGAAUCGGAUGUAGAAAUAUAAAUAUAAAUUGUGAUCGAUCAGUAACUGUAGUUAUUGUUAUAUAACUUUGGUGUCUUACUACAUGAGUGUUCAUCAAGAAGCUUGUACCAGUCGACAUUGAUACACAUCCUACUGAGGCGGUAUAACCCUAUAUUUGACAGACCAACCCAGACCUACCGGAGGAAGAGUCUACUGUACUGGUAAUUGGCAUUCCUCUUAGGGCCUGCUGCGUACGACAGGUAUAUUGAGAAGAGAAGUACAUGUAGCUGGCUUGCCGAACAGAAUGCGCCGAUGGUACACGUCGGAUCGUUGUUCAGAAAAAUCUUAAUGCAUUCCAAGCAGGAGCAUCAACGGAUCAAUUUUAUUGUGAUAAAGUUUCAAGUGCUGAAAACAAAGCGCGUCGCCUAUCAGAUGAUGAUUAGCUGAAUAAUUAAUACGCGCGUGCUGUUUAAAUAAAAUUUAGUUGCAAUGCGUAAUUUGGAUAGUUCGAAUAUGCUCCAUGGGAGAUUCGCCCAAUUUAUUGCGGUUUUUACAGGUGAGUUUUCUUAUAUAAUUUU